UUUAAGAUAACUACAUCUUCACAGACCAGCAUUUCUGAAGAGAAACAAGUCCACAGCUCCCCAGUCUUAUUGGAAACACAUAUUACAGUAGGAACAGAGGCAACAGCUACGUGGGUGGCUGGCAGUGAUAGAAAAUAUUUUAGUUUUGAUACAUGGAAUUUGACAUGCUUUUUGAAAAUCUUCAGAUGGUGAUGUACAAGAUUGACCCAUCAUUUGGAUGUCCCAAAACCACAGAUGGAAUAGAAGAAUGGAACAAAUUUGUACAUUUUGUCAAUAAAAACUUUAUCUUC
rnacentral:lncRNA from 1 species